UUUUUCCGAUAAAGGAAGCUUUUAUUGAACUCGCAUCAUUACAUCAAGAUGAUACAAUCAUGCUGAGAUCACUCCGGCCUCUGCAUAACUAGGAUGCACAUAGCCCACACACACAAACAAGAGUUUUAUAUCAAGUGGAAUAACAGAAAAAUGAUAUGGAUCGUCAAUCCUUGGACUAGACCGCCACCCAUGCUUCUGGGUAAAACAUUCCCUGACCACCCGCUCCAAAUGUUGACACGCCGCUGCAACCAACUCCUGAGAACCCGACUUCAUAAUAGUCCAGGUACGGAGCCAGU
rnacentral:lncRNA from 1 species